UUUAGCAACAAAAGUCACAUAUAUAAAUGUGUCAUCUUCCUCUGUAUUUGAACAAGCCUCAUAGGCUCACUCUUGACACGUGCAAUACUGGAUUUAUCCUUUCUUUGAUUUAUAAUAAAAUGCGCAUAUAGUUCGUUACAAAAUAUCUAGUCUUCAGUGUUUUCUUCCUUUGAGGACGAUUCUGUAUUUUCAAUGUUUUUUUUUUCACUUAACCUUUUUUUAAUUCCUUUUUCCUUUGGUUGGCUUUUUGCAUUCCCUCUUUGUGUCAUUGAUUUUUGUGAUUUAAAAAGUUUUCAUUUAGAAGAGUCUUAUCGUUCUUUCUUUCUAGUGUACCGAGUACUGAGCCCAUACCUCGAUAUUCGGUUUUGUCUCACGGCCACAUAUUUUAAUAAAAAUGGUAUAUCUCCAGUCACUGAUGCGGUAAAAUAUCGAUUAAUAGGUUAAAAUAUUUCUUAAAAUUUAUUGAAUACAGAAAUAUACUUAUUGAUAAUGAUUCUCGGUGUAUGCGACACUAUAGAGUGAUAUAUGUUAAUCAUAAAAUCGAAGUAUUUCGGCAUAAAAACGUUCAGCAAAGCAACCAGCGUAUAUCGUCGUCUGUAAUUCAGUUCUACUGGCAUAAUCGUGGUUUAGAAGUAGUUUGUGAGUUAGCUGCUAGAUGACAGUGAUGAUCACGGAGAUAGAGCUACUCGGUUUAACUCGCCUAUCCGGUUUUGCCCCAUUUCCCCUAUUACUUUCAAAAUGAUUUCCAGGAUGUAAAUCAUAAUAAAUUUAAUAAAUAUGAAGUUUCCAUCUUUUGUUGUUUUAAUUAAUAAUUUAAUUAUGCGGUUAGCGUUAUUUCACUUUUAUAACAGCCC
rnacentral:lncRNA from 1 species